UCACCACAAUGUGACUCUCAGCAAAUCUAGGGGCGUCACUUUCACAUCUUCCUGGAAGAUACACGUGAGAGAGAAGAGCUAAAGAAAGUGACUGUGACUCUUUCUCUCUGUCACACAAACACACACUCUGGUAAUAGAGGCAUCAGUGCAACUCCCAGCCGAACUGCUUCUCGCAGGCAGCACUGUGUGGGCGGUCUGCAGAGCUGCGUUGCCAGAGGAACAGAGCGAUGACAGCCACCUCCCCUUGACGUCCCCAGCCCAGGCAGGGAGGCUAUAAAGAAGUGGAGGGCUGGGGAGCAGCCUGGGGAGCGCUCUCUGUGGGAACACGCCUGGGCUCUUGCGUGCGGGUCACUGGAGAUUGUCAGGGGGCGGAGGUGAGGCACUCGAAGCAAAGCGGGUUUGCAGCCCAGCUGGAAGACACAGCGGGCUCUGCACGGCAGACCCCUUUUGAAGCGCUCAGGCAGGAGCUGGAGAGAGGGCUGGCUCAGGAUGAAUGAAGUGAAGCUCGCCGUGCUGGGCAGCAGAGGAAGCGGCAAGUCUGCCCUAACAGUGAGGUUCCUAACCAGGCGCUUCAUUGGAGAAUACGCUUCUAAUUCGGAAUGCAUCUACACUAAACAUUUGUGUCUGGAUGGGAGACAAAUGAAUCUGGAAAUUUAUGAUCCUUGUUCACAGCCACGGCAGGGGAAGCUGUCCCUCACGGAUGAGCUUCACUGGGCUGACGGAUUUGUUAUUGUUUAUGACAUCAGCAACAGGGCUUCCUUUGCAUUUGCGAAAGCUUUGCUGUACAGGAUACGAGACUCCCACAUAGCAGCUUGUAAAAGAGUGGUGGAGUCAGCUGUGUUCUUAGUUGGUAACAAGCAGGAUCUAUGCCAUAUGAGAGAAGUAGGCUGGGACGAAGGACAAAAGCUGGCGAUGGAUAACAAAUGUCAGUUCUCUGAACUGUCUGCUUCAGAACAUUGUCAGGAAGUGGUAACCAUGUUCACAACAGUCCUAAGAACCAUCGCCACAAACUUCAAAGUGAAGGAAAAGAGACGACCCAGUGGGUCAAAGUCAAUGGCCAAACUAAUCAACAACAUGUUUGGGAAGAGGAGAAAGUCUGUGUAGUGGAUGUCCAGUCUGAUGGGAACCAUUGAACAAGGAUGCACUGAAGCAUUGCAGGAGUGGGCCAUGUAAAAUGCUUGGACUUAGCCAAUGUGUACAUGUGUUUAAAAGGUCUCCAUUUGAAAGGAUAUGGUACAAACCAAAGAUAAGUGGCAGUAUGAGCCAGUAGACAGGGUACGGCAGUGGGUUUCAGAAGACCAGGCUUCCAUUUACAGCUCUACCAUGGACCUGCUAGGUGACCUUAGCAAGUAUCUUCAUCUGUUUGAGCCUCUGCUCCCCUCUCAACCUGUGUCUUUGCUGUUUAGAUUGUAAGCUCUUUGAAGAAAGGGCAGUCUUUUCUUACUCUCUUUUUGUAGAGCGAGACUGGGAACAAUGGGGCCUUAAUCUUGGUUGCCUUGACACCGAACAAGAGCCCAAUGUCAGAAUUCCAAGGUUUAUCUGUAACAUAGUGAUUGCACUAAUUGAAACCAGGAGUGGUAUUUUGUGAUAUUGCACGUACAGGUAAAUGAGUGGAACGUACUUAAUGGCUGACUUUCAGGGCUUCCUUCCCCUGAAAAGCUGCCAGGAGUAGGGAGUCACAUAAAUGAGGUCAUUAGCUAUUUCCCAUUACAAUAUUAUUGACGGAGAAUGAUGGGAAGAAGUAUGGGAGUCAAGAGCUUUGUGCUCCCUUUGGCUCAGUUGCUAACUUGCUGUGUGACCUUCGGAAAGGUCUUAUUGGGUGAAAUUCACUCCUAGAGAUCAAUUUUAAUCUUCUCUAGACAUGUGGUUAUUUGACUCUAUGACUUUAAGCUUCAGAGGUGGAAGCCAGUCCCUUAGACCAUCUUUUGUUCCCAUGCUGAUGACCAGUGCAGCCCAAGUACCACUGAGAUCCAAGAACUUGGGCUCAGAUUAUCACAGGUAUUUAGGCACUCAACACCCAUGGGUCUCUGCCCUUAAUUUGGUCCUCUGCACAUGGGUGAUUUUUUUUUCUCUCCAUGCCUCAGUUUUCUUAUCUGCAGUAUGGGUAUAACAAUUGCCUGUCUACUCUGUUUUAUUUAGGGGUAGAAUCUGAAAAGCCCCUAAGUAAGAAACAUAAACCUGACCAGGAUUCAAAAUCAGACUUUCAGUGGACUUGCGGCCCUAAAUCCCAUACUUCUCUUAAAACCCAUACGCAGCACCAUGGUAAUGAAAUGCCUUUGUAAAGCGCUUUGAUUUAUAUAGACAGUGCUUUAGGAGUGCCUUAUCAUUUUCCCCCCACACUGAUGCUUAACAUGAGGCAGCAAAGUCUAAAUAUUUAGCAGAAAUAUUUAGAAGAAAAUCAGUCUUCUGACUGUGUACUUAGGUACAUAUGUACCCAUGUUUUUAACUGCAAAAGUUAUGAAGGGAAAAGUAAGUGGUCUCUAGGGGCAUGUAGUUUAGAUGUACCCUAGAUGACUGACUUUCUCUCAUACUGAUUCCAAUGGACACGAAGGGCAUGUCUAACAGCCUCCUGGCACGAGUAGACAGACUUGCAUUAGUGGGGCAUGAACUUGUGAACUAAAUACAGGGUGAAUAUUGCAGCUUGAGCUGUCACUAGGGUUCUCAAGCCCACUUGACCCCUGGGGUCAAGCUCAGGAGGCUAUCUUGAGUCUCUGCUGGAGCUGGAAAUUUCAUGCUGCUAUUUUUAGCAUGCUGUCUUGAGCUACAUGAGCAAGAGUGUCUCCUCUCAGGCUAGAAGAAUUGCUCCAAAAUGCCAUGUGGCCAUCUGCAAGGGUGCAAUUUCCAAAAGAAACCCCAAAUACUCUCAGCAUUGUGGCCAAACUCUGGUCUUAUUGAAGUCAGCGAGCAGAGAUAGGUCAAUGCCGAGUGGUUUUGUUAACCCCAUGCAAAUAAGGAGAAUACUAUAUCGCUUUAACAAACUAUAAACAAAUUAUGUGCAAAAAGUACGCUGUGACUAAAGAUCACCACUUGUUGAAAAGAUCAUCUUAUUUCACAUAGUUGCAGCUUUUAAAAUUGCAAAUCAUGGAAUAUAUUUCUCAGAAUGCUGGCAGGCCCUGCAUUAUUUUACAUUGAAGCAGACUUUCACCUACCAUAUCAAGAGUGAUUUAUAUAAGGGGUAUAUUUUAGAAUCAGGAGCUAUAAGGCACUGAUCUGUACUGAGCUAUGAAAUGGCGUACAAUCCCCCAAACUCUUCUAGCAGGCUGCUUUUUUUUAUAGCCUGUCAAUCUGUGUACAGCUUGCUAACCAGAUUUGAAAAGUAACUGUAUUUACUGAUAUAUUAAACCAACCUGAAUGUUACAAGAUGUUUACACUUGUUUACACUUUUCAAAAUGGUCUAAUAUAUGAACAACGUCUUUUGCUAUUAUACAAAUGAAGUCCAUGCCACCUCAAAUAGUAAAUUCAAAUGUUAGGCACUUUAACAAGAAGAGGACUAUGUGUUUCAAAUACACAUUAAAGAAUCCAUCAUGCACUUUGAUACAAUGAAU